GCCCUCCUCCUGCCUGGAUGGAUGCAGGGGUGUUUCACACUUAAGGAGAAAAGGGGUUUAAAAAAAAAGAAAAAGAAAGAAAUCCACGCUUUUCUGUCCUCUUGCCUUUGGCUGUGAACUUUCCCUUCUGGUAAGUUCUCCUUUAAGAAAUGAACUGUUCCCCUAUGAAUAUUUAAUGCUGUUUGUCUGCAGGAUCCAGAUGACGCGGGCUGGAGUCUCACACACAGAACCUGAAUUAUGGUGGGGCAAAUCCGCCACACGCCAAGCGCUGCCUCGGGCCUGGGAUUUUGCUCCAAAUGAGACCGGUUUCCUGUCUGUGUUCGAAGGGGGCGAAGUCUACAGGCUGCUGUUUUAAAAGGAGGCUGAGAGGGGGGGGAAAUCAGAAACAAAAAUGUGUUUUCAAAAGAUCUCCGCCACCGGCAGCCAGGGUCAUUCCAAGAAGCCAAGAAGCGGCGGCCUCUUUCCCCGUCCCCGUCCCCCCCCCCCCCCCCAUCUAGGUUUGGGGAAAUAAGGAUAAGGGGCAUUUCUGAAAGUAGCCCCAACCCAAGCGCAGACAACCCCCAGAGAGUCGUCUCUGCCCCCUUCAGCUCCAUCCCAUCCUGGCCACACCAGUUCCCUCACUGACUUUCCGGCGUGACCCUCCCUUCCCGCUCCCAGAGAGUCGGGAUUUCCCACGGUCCCUCAAUUCACCCAGGCCCUGCAGCUGCCACUUCGCGUGCCCAACUCGAAAUCUCUGGCCCACGUCAUGUGACUCGGUCGAUCAAGUGUCCAGUCCAGAGUCUUGGGCCUCUCCACCAUCCCGAAGCCACCGCAACCGAAAUGGUGGGAGCUGGAGGUGAGAUGGGAGAUUCGAUGAUGAUAAUAAUAAUAAUAAAUAAUAAUAAUGGUAUCUGUUAAACGCUUACUACGUGCCAAGCACUGUUCUAAGCGCUGGGGUAGAUACAAGGUGAUCAUGUUGUCCCACGUGGGGCUCACAGUCUUAAUCCCCAUUUUACAGAUGAGGUAACUGAGGCACAGAGAAGUUAAGUGGCUUGCCCAAGGUCAUACAGCAGACAAGUGGCGGAGCUGGGAUUAGAAGCCAA
rnacentral:lncRNA from 1 species